ACUGUUAGCCGCCAACCGGCUCUCCCCCCUUCGCCCUUUACUAGCCCCCAUGAAAUAGCAGCAGCAAGGCACCCGGCGGCAUGGAGACACAUAGCAGCGCUGCGGGUAGUCCUGCAACGAUGCUAAUUUGACUGACAGGCAGCUAGACAAUUCACUGCCGCACCGCUAUGCAGUGGGAGCAGAGAGUUGGUUUCCCCCUCGGCCAGUCCCGUGUCCCCCAUCUGCCGGGCCGGCUCCAUAGCCUGCUGCUUGAUGGGGUUUUUUUGGUGGAUUUUUUUAAUAAAAGGGGCGUGGCCACACCUCCGUGAUUAGGCCACGCCCCCCGAGUAUGCUAGGUCCUCGGCGGUCUUUCUAUGGCUCUGCUGCCUGUUCUUUCAGACUUGCUCCUGUGAUAUACUGUAAGCUGGAGACCUACGGAAGACCUGUAGGUCCAUAGGCUGUGACGGAUGCCGACUGAUUGCUUCUCCGUCUGACAGUUACUCCUUGCAAAUAUGUGAUAAAAAUCAAUAUUAUACAACCAGACGAUUGAGAGGAAGCUUCUUUCCGACAGCAACAGCUAUGUUGAAUGGUAUUAACUGUAGAUAAAGAGGUUUUAGGUGAUGAUGUUCUUAUGCUUUUAUGGUUUCUGUAUUUGUUCACAUAUAAAUUGAAUUGAUUGUUCAUGCAAGUAAGCCCUUAAUGACAAUAAAGUUCAAGUUCA